UAGAGUUUGAUCCUGGCUCAGGACGAACGCUGGCGGCGUGCCUAAUACAUGCAAGUCGAGCGAACAGAGAAGGAGCUUGCUCCUUUGACGUUAGCGGCGGACGGGUGAGUAACACGUGGGCAACCUACCCUAUAGUUUGGGAUAACUCCGGGAAACCGGGGCUAAUACCGAAUAAUCUAUGUCACCUCAUGGUGACAUACUGAAAGACGGUCUCGGCUGUCGCUAUAGGAUGGGCCCGCGGCGCAUUAGCUAGUUGGUGAGGUAACGGCUCACCAAGGCGACGAUGCGUAGCCGACCUGAGAGGGUGAUCGGCCACACUGGGACUGAGACACGGCCCAGGCUCCUACGGGAGGCAGCAGUAGGGAAUCUUCCACAAUGGGCGAAAGCCUGAUGGAGCAACGCCGCGUGAGUGAAGAAGGUUUUCGGAUCGUAAAACUCUGUUGUAAGGGAAGAACAAGUACAGUAGUAACUGGCUGUACCUUGACGGUACCUUAUUAGAAAGCCACGGCUAACUACGUGCCAGCAGCCGCGGUAAUA
rnacentral:rRNA from 1 species